UGAUCCGGUGGUUCUGAAUGGAAGGGCCAUCGCUCAACGGAUAAAAGGUACUCCGGGGAUAACAGGCUGAUACCGCCCAAGAGUUCAUAUCGACGGCGGUGUUUGGCACCUCGAUGUCGGCUCAUCACAUCCUGGGGCUGAAGUAGGUCCCAAGGGUAUGGCUGUUCGCCAUUUAAAGUGGUACGCGAGCUGGGUUUAGAACGUCGUGAGACAGUUCGGUCCCUAUCUGCCGUGGGCGUUGGAAGAUUGAGAGGGGCUGCUCCUAGUACGAGAGGACCGGAGUGGACGAAUCACUGGUGUUCGGGUUGUCAUGCCAAUGGCAUUGCCCGGUAGCUAAAUUCGGAAGAGAUAACCGCUGAAAGCAUCUAAGCGGGAAACUUGCCUCGAGAUGAGUCUUCCCUGGGACUUAAAGUCCCCUGAAGGAACGUUAAAGACUAUGACGUUGAUAGGCUGGGUGUGUAAGUGCAGCGAUGUAUUGAGCUAACCAGUACUAAUGAUCCGUGAGGCUUAACCUUACAACACCGAAGGUGUUU
rnacentral:rRNA from 1 species